UACACUGUGACCUUGACCUUUGUCUUACUGACCUUAAAAUCAACAGAAGUCAUCUGCUGCUCAUGACCGACCUCCCUGUCAACUUUUAUAUGCCAGAACAUUCUUGAGUUAUUAUCCGGAAACCGAUAAACUGAUCCUUUUCACUGUGACCUUGACCUUUAACCUAUUGAUCUCAAAAUCAAUAGAGGUUAUCUGCUCGUAAUUCACCAACCUUCCUGUCAACUUUCAUGAUACUAGGCUUAAGCGUUCUUGAGUUAUCAUCCAUAAACUGUUUUGGGUCACUGUGACCUUGACAUUGACCUACUGAUCUCAAAAUCAAAGGGGUCAUCUGCUUGUUAUUACAUGAAUCCCUAUCAAGUUUCAUGAUCCUAGGCCUGAACGUACUUGAGUCAUCAACCAGACACGGAUGGGUCUACAUACCGACCGACAGACAGACUGACACCUGGAAAACAAUAUACCCCUCCUACUUCAAAGGGGGGCAUAAUAGGCUGUUUAACUGUAAAAAAAGUAUUAUGGGUGUAACGAUGUCAGUCUCAUGAUAAAAUACAUAUCGUGACACACAUGCAACGGUACAGUACAUAUCACGAUAAAAAUAAGUACAAUAAGUGACAAAAGUAAAGAAAAUCAAUGAUGAGUUCCUACACUUGGAAAGUCCUUGAAUUGUGCUUUUCAGCUGAAGAAAUUAUUAUAAAUGAUGCAAGUGUUGGUUUACUAUAUUUAACACUGAUUGUAUGAAAGUUUCCGUUCAACGUUUCUGCUUCCCACUGUAUUGUUUCUGUAUCAUGAAACAAUACUAGAAUCACAUACUACUGCAACAGGAUACAGAAAAUUUCAUAUAUUGUUACACCCUUAUUAAUUAACAACAAAAACAAAGCCUUCGUGAUAUUUUCUUACACAUAAGACCCCAAAACACGGGUUAUUCUACGAUAGACCACGUUUGGGAACUUAUGACUUCUUAAAUAUACAUUCAUAAAAUGCCAGUGAGGCAAGUUUAUGCUAUAAAGUAGUUCUGCACGUUUGAAUCAAUUUUUUUUCUACAAUGUAAAUUUUAAAAUUACAAAAUUCUACUUAUAAAAAAGGCUGUUGUGCUUGAUUUUUCUACUAGAUUUAUUUGAAAAAAUUGGACCUCAAGCAAUUGUCCAUAAUGAGAGUCUAUAAAAAACAACAUAACUUUCGUAACAUGUUCGCGAAUAGAAACUCUUCUACAAUCACGUGCUACAAUGUAGAUUUUCAUGACUAAGCAUAUAUCCUAUAAUGUGGUGAAAUAAAAUGUAAAGGUCUGUGUGCUUAUUUAUUAGACAUUUAACCAUGAAGGAAAAGAACUGCAAAUUUCACACCAAUUUUAUGUCAUUAUUUAGAAAAACUUAACGUGUCAUACAUUUAUAUUUUUUAUCUUUAAACAGAUAACAAAAGUGCCAUUGUACUAAAUUUACUCACAGGCUGCCAUUUAUUCAGUAAACUGUUAUAAUUUCCAUAUGCCGACCAGGCUUUAUUCUACGUUUUCCGUAUAAAUGACGUUACCACAUCACUUCCGGUUUAGCAAACGUGCAGAACUACCUUAAUGUCAACAUAAAUUCAUUAUUAGAGAUGUAAUCAUUACAAACAAUGUGCAUGUACCAGAAAACGUUCCCAACGGAUUUCAAUUGGAGAUCUUGGGGAGACAGCGACAGUUUAUCACAUUGUCCCCAAAAGUCCUAUUAUUUGGACUAAUACGUUUAAGUUUAUACAUCAUGUACAGUGAUUUAGGGUAUAGCGGAUUUUAGGGUAAAGAAGGAUAGGUUAAUAAAUUUUGUGUUAAGACUUGAAUUAUUGUAUAAAAUUUUCAAAUCAUUCUUGUAUUUGCAUGCAGAUAGACAUUCUGACAUUAUUGUUGAAUGUUUGCUUGUAAUGUUAUUUUUCAUAUGCCAAAAACUGAAAAUCAAGGCUAUCCUGAACUGACCUAAUCAGUGUAUGUAAAAAGAAACAUUAGUGAAUGAAAAGUAUUUGAUAGAAAUUUAAAAAGAGAAUACAUGUUCAUGAUGGUUUAUACGAGUUAUAGAGAAAAACAUGAAUUAAAAGAAUAGACGCUGAUGUACUGUUAGACCACCUACAAUCGUUCGCCAUCGACCAUUAUCAAAGGAAGCUUCCUUCAUAUUCUAAAGGAAAAUAAUGCAUUACAAAACAAAAAAAACUUACAUCUGUGUAUAUUCAUGAAUUUCUAAGUGCAUGAAUUACUGACCACAGCUAGCUAGAUAAAUGACUAAGUCUACACUAGCUGGAUGUACCCAAAUUUUCUCAACACUUGUACUUAUCGGCCACACCGCACUGUGCUUCCAAUAUUUAAAUGUGAUAACUAGGACAAAUGAUACUCGCAAGUAUGCUUACAAUAUCAAUGUGGCAGGGAACCAUAUAUUAUAAUUAGCCGUCUUUUUAUGUGGCGGGCGGUUUUUGUUUUCCAGGACUUGAGAAUAACUCCAAAAACAAUAAAGAUCUCGUUCAGAAAUAAAACACACUUAACUUGCAGUAAUUUUCCAGGCAGAUAGAUCAAAUAAAGUGUGACAAAACACUGGGAAGAUACAUGCACUAAUUUCUUGGGCGGAUUAGCUUCGUUCGUUGUUUCUCGAAUUUUUUGGGGUACUUCAUGGAUUAAUAAAUUACAGAUGGAGAAAAUGACAACAAUAAAAAAAAAAAAAAAGAAAAUAGCAUCACUUCUGCGAUAUAAAAAAAUGUAUAGGCACUAUGAAUUAAUUUCAGAACCCAGAACGUCAACUUAAUACUGCCUUGUUGAUUACUUAGCCAUUCCAGAACGUGUAACAGUUACUGGCUGGUUUGUUGUUUCAGAACGUCUAAGACGAAAUUAUGACUUUAUGGUUCCGGCACUUCUACCUUUUGCUGUACCGAAUAACAGACUUUAAAACGGUUUCUUGUAUAAUUUCAGCUUUUAUUCUUCCCUGAAGCCAUUUAACGCGGUUAUUGGCCAUGGUAAAACAGUAUCAGUGUUUGGUAUGUAAAAGGCGCGAAAAUGCAAGAAAUAGACGCCCUGUGAGCAUUCCUAUCAAGAAAUAUCUCCAGAAACAGUUUGGUAUCUACCCAACGGAAUCGAUAUAGUAUGUGGUGCAUGUAGGAUGAAGUUCCGUGGAAAUGUACAGAAAGGCAACAUCCCGCCAUCUGCAUCAGCAAGCACGUGUAAUAAUGAUUCAGAUGGAGAGUAUGUCCCACUACAGUCAACAUCUCGACAAAAAAUCUUUAGUCCACCCUCUGUGCGUAACAAUAUCAAUUCAAUAUUUGAUAAGUAAUUACAAAAUCCAAAGGGAUUGAUGAUAUCCAUUAAUUAUAAACAACGCUGUUUUAUACAACAUUUCGGCUUUAUUCGCCUUUGUCAAAUAUAAAUGUUCUGAGAUGAUCACAUCAGAUUUCGACCAUGUUGAUUGCUUUCUCAUUAAUAAUAAUACGGAUAUAACGUUACGUUAUCAUAGCUUAAAACAAGCUAUAACGCGCAAGUAAGCGUUGACUAGCUGAAAUUCAUAUCUUUAACGGAACAGUGACGACUAAGUCAUAAGACCCAAGUUACAUGGGUCAUUGAAGUUGUGCCAGUUUUUAUAAAAUCCAUCUUAAGAUGAAAAUUAUAUAGGUAUUAAAAAUUUAAUUACCUCCCUUUAUAGUGUACGAAAUAUAUUAUAAACAAUUUAUAGUCAAAAAAGAAUAAGGAUUCUGAUAGAAUCUAUAAAAUAAUAUCGAAAAUAAUGUCUUAACUAAAUUUACAUUACAUAUAAUAUCAUAGAAUGUCUGUGAAAAAACGACUCAUACAAUUGCUUAUUUAUUUUCAGGUACUACUGCAGAUUUUAUCUACAGGCAGGUCCCAUUCAAGAUGUUUCGUGUGUAAACGACCGGGGAAGAAGUUGUAACACUCUCUAAAGAUGGCCGUUUUAAUGCAUUCUUGCGACACAACAUCAUGAUAACAGACGCCUGAUGUUGCCAUAGACACCUGAUUGAUGGGUGUUUACGCCAAGAAUGUAUUGGUCAUGUGCAGACCUUAGCAGUCACAUCUUUUCUGAAUCGGUCUACCAUUAAUGACUUUCUGCAAAAGUUACGUAUAGCUCUUCCGAACCAGAGAAAUUCCCUUAACUUCGAUACCAUGAGUGAUAGUACCUACCAAUCAAUGACUGGGCUGUGUCGUGCACAAUUCGACGAUGUAUGUGGACACCUAGUAGAUGAAGUGAAAAAAACGCCGAACCGAUCCUCAGCAACCAGUGUUGGUUUGUUCCUGGUUAAGCACUUUACGAGAAUGAGCAAUGAUGUCAUGUCAGUUAUUUUUGGAAUUGAUAAGUCAAGUGCAAGGCGGGCAAUUCAUACAGUACGACAGGCAGAUAUGCGUGGUUUCGUCUCGUUGUACCUAGGUUUAGAAUGCAUAACGAGAGAAUCGAUCAUCAGCGAACAUACACGUCCACUCGCAAAACAGUUGUUUGCCACAAGUGAGGGUCAGCUGAUACAUUAUGUAUUAGUUCUUGAUGGGACCUACAUAUACAUUGACAGAUCAAACAACUUUCAGUUUCAACGGAAAAGCUAUAGCGUGCAUAAAGAUAAAAAAAUGUAUUCAUGAACAAACUUGUUGUGUAAAUGCAUUCAUCUCAGUUAAACUCCGUUACGACGAGAUAUGCGUCUAUACGACAGCUUUAUAGGAUGUUACAACAUGCGCUGCGUCUCGACGACAGCCAUAGCGCAGUCAUCAAGACGCAACUCUUGUUGUAACAUCCCAUCGCACUGUCGUCAAGACGCAGCUCCUGUUAUAAUAGAGUUUUAACGGGAUGGUAGUAUGGUCUAACUGUCAUUGUUUUGACCAAUAUAUAUUUACAUGCAUAUUAGUUAUAGACCUCGACAAUACUCGUACAUUGAAUAGUGAGAGCACUUCAUAUGCAAGAAAUCACUUGUCCAUCGUUUGAAUAUUAGUCAGAACUAUCAAUAUAUUAUAAUCAACACUUAGAAUAUUUUUAUAUUUCCAGUAGCUGCAAUUCUUAUAAUUUCAGAAACAUUUCUAUGAAUGUGUAACUGUCAUAUAAGUUUUAUAUAACAUAUAUCUUAUGUUAUAUAUGACUCGAGAUGUACAUAAUUGACAAAUAUAGGACAUGAUAUUACGCUAUGACCCGAUCGUCUUGUAGGGUACUUAAUUACAAUUGUGAUUGUAAAACUAUGUGGUGAUUUAAAACAUGUUUGUAUAUCUAAUUAACAAUUUAUAUACUUAUACUUAAAGGUAAGCCUCUUGUCAAGCCCAUGGUAGUGGUUACAACGACGAUUGUUGGACCGUACCUUGCGGAUGGAAAGAACAAUGACGCAGCUAUAUUUAAUCACAUGCUACGACAGAACAUGGACGAUAUACGGACAUUUCUACAAGAAGGGGAUAUAAUAGUUGUCGAUAGAGGACUUAGGAACUCCUUGACUCUAUUGGAAGAUCUCGGCAUCUAAGCAGAAAUGCCGGCGUUUCUGAACAAGGGUCAGAAACAAAUGACCACUGAAGAUGCAAACUCAAGUCGCCUUGUAACAAAGAUACGAUGGGCGGUCGAGUCGGCAAAUGCCAGGAUAAAGAGGUACAAGUAUCUUGAGCAUACAAUGUAGAACAGCCAGAUCCCGUACAUUGGAGACUAUGUGCGAAUCGUCUGCGCACUGUCGAACAUCUAUUUCAAACCACUCUGUUCGCCAGCCCAAACAGAAAAGCACGAGCAAAUGGCCAUGCAGAUGCUUGAACAGAGAGCAAAGUCCUAUGUUUUGAAAAAUAUAGUGGAGGAAAAAAGUCUCAAUAGGAAAACUAAAGUUUGGAAAACUGUGGACGAGUGUGACCUUGAUAUCUUCCCCCGUCUGAAUGAUAAGGAAUUAAGCAAAUUAAAUUUGGAUGUGUAUCAGUUACGCUUGAGCUCUAGCUACAUCCAAGAACAUAUGGACGGCAACUGUGAUAUCAAACUUCACAUCGACGAGCCCAACCUCCUUGCUGUAAAAAUGCAAAGUAGGCGUACUAACAGCAGAAUGUACAUGCUCUGGAUCAGACUCAGUGACAAGGAUAUAACUGAAUGCUUUUGUCAAUGCCAAGCGGGGGCUAGGGUCGUGGGCAUGUGCUACCAUGUCGCGGCCAUAGCAUGGUAUUUGUCAUAUGCUAGGUUCCAGAACAGAGAUUCAUAUUGUGUACGUGAUUGGGGCAAGCACCUCUCCGAUGCAGCCAGCUUUGAGAUUGAAGAUGACUCUUCCAGCUGUAGUUCGAAAAGUGACAGCGAUUGAGCCGGAAAUGUAGAGCAAGCACAUUUUGCCACUUUGCUAUAAGUGAAACAUUUAGUUUAUAUUGAUUAAAAGAAGUAAUGAUAUUUGUCUGGCGUGGCAACAAGAAACAACAUCUGUAGCUUUGAAUUUUACAAGUGUUUUAAAUAGACGUCUAGGCAUUGUUUAAUAUUUUUUAUGAUAAGUUAUAUAUUUUAGUAUAUCAGCUGCUUUAUAAAUAUCAUUGAAUGUAGGUUAAAAGUGUAUUUUUGGUAAAAUAGUAACAGUAAUCAUCAACACAUUUAUGUGUCAUUUAUGUGAAUUGUGCUCAGUAUUCACAUAGAUUAUAUGAUUUGAUAUUUCAUUGUAAGUGUUUGCUUUAUUAGUUUUGUUUUGUACUUAGCAUAAAUGCGAAUUGUAAAUUUAAAAAUGGCAUUGUUAGCAAAACCAUGUCAAUGUAAUGACCGAAUUCAUUUGAAGGCAAUCCAGCAGGUCAGGUCAGUCAAGUUGUGCCAUUGUAUACCAGUCAUAAAAUGUACUGAUUUCUUUUUUGUCUUUAUUUGAUCAUGGAAAUUUCUAAUAUUUUAAAUAUCUAAUUUUAUAAGGAAUUAUACAAACUGUUAUAUCAGGUUUUAGGAAUCUACUACUGUAACACUAACUUUAAUUUACUUUGAAUUUGCAAUGUCCUUAUUUUGAGAUAAUCCAGUAUUAGAUUUCAUGACAGCUAAAAGCAAUACGCCAUGAUAACGGCUUGAAAUUAUGUUUUUAUGGGAAAUAGCAAUCCACAGUACAUGUAAUACGCAUCUAUACAGUAGU